rnacentral:rRNA from 1 species
AUUGAACGCUGGCGGCAGGCCUAACACAUGCAAGUCGAACGAGCGGCGGACGGGUGAGUAAUGUAUGGGGACUGCCCGAUAGAGGGGGGUAAAUACUGGAAACGGUAGCUAAUCCCGCAUACUAUCGGAUAACCCAUAUGGGAUUAGCUAGUAGGUGGGGUAAUGGGUGACCUAGGCGACGAGCCCUAGCUGGUCUGAGAGGAUGAUCAGCCACACUGGGACGGAGACACGGCCCAGACUCCUACGGAGGCAGCAGUGGGGAAUAUUGCACAAUGGGCGCAAGCCGGAUGCAGCCAUGCCGCGUGUAUGAAGAAGGCCCUAGGGGUGUAAAGUACUUUCAGUCGGGAGGCGUUACCGACAGAAGAAGCACCGGCUAACUCCGUGCCAGCAGCCGCGGUAAUAC